UUCAGUGGUAAAGGUUGCCGACCCCUGUCCUAGAGCAAGGGGUUUAGAUGAGGUGGAGUUUAUUAGGUGUAUACAAGAAGGUUCCCUUACACAAUAUGUAAGAGGAGAGGUUGUACUUGAUCUGGUAUUGGGAAAUGAACCUGGUUAGGUGUCAGAUCUCUCAGUGGGACAGCAUUUUGGAGAUAGUGAUCAUAAUUCUAUCUCCUUUACCAUAGCAUUGGAGAGGGGUAGGAACAAGUUAGGAAAGUGUUUAAUUUGAAUAAGUGGCAAUAUGAAGCUAUAGGCAGGAACUUGGAGGCAUAAAUUGGGAACAGAUAUUCUCAGGGAAAUGUACGACAGAAAUGUGGCAAAUGUUCAGGGGAUAUGAACAGUUCAAAUGUUCUGCAUAUGUAUGUUCCAAUGAGACAAGGAAAGGAUGGUAGGGUAUUGAAACUGUGGUGUACAAAGGCUGUUGAAAAUCUAGUCAAGAAGAAAAGAAAAGCUAACGAAAGGUUCAAAAAACUAGGCUAGAUCUAGAAGAUUAUAAGCCUAGCAGGAAGGAGCUUAACAACGAAAUCAGGAGAGCCAGAAGAGGCCAUGAGAAGGCCUUGGUAGGCAGGAUUAAAGAAAACCCCAAGGCAUUCUACAAGUAUGUGAAGAGCAACAGGAUAAGACGUAAGAGACCAAUCAAGUAUGACAGUGGAAAAGUGUGUAUUGAACCGGAGGAGAUAGCAGAGGUACUUACUGAAUACUAUGCUUCAGUAUUCACUACGGAAAAAGAUCUUGGCAGGACCUGUGGGAGGCAAGGGAAGAGAUAGCUGAGCCUCUGGCAAUGAUCUUUGCAUCAUCAAUGGGGACGGGAGAGGUUCCAGAGGACUGGAGGGUUGCAGAUAUUGUUCCCUUAUUCAAGAAAGGGAGUUGAGGUAGCCCAGGAAAUUAUAGACCAGUGAGUAGGUUGAUGGAGAAGAUCUGAGAGGCAGGAUUUAUGAACAUUUGGAGAGGCAUAAUAUGAUUAGAAAUUGUCAGCAUGGUUUUGUCAAAGGUAGGUCAUGCCUCAUGAACCUAACUGAAUUUUUUGAGGAUGUGACUAACCACAUUGAUGAAGGAAGAGCAGUGGAUGUAGUGUAUAUGGAUUUCAGCAAGGCAUUUGAUAAGGUACCCCAUACAAGGCUUAUUGAGAAAGUAAGGCAAAGAGCGGUUGUAGAUGGGUCAUAUUCUGUGUGGAGGUCAAUGACCAGUGGUGUGCCUCAGGGAUCUGUUCUGGGACCCCUUCUCUUCGUGAUUUUAAUAAAUGACCUGGAUGAAGAAGUGAAGGGACCGGUUAGUAAAUUUGCUGAUGACACAAAGGUUGGAGGUGUUGUGGAUAGUGUGGAGGGCUGUCAGAGGUUACAGAGGGACAUUGAUAGGAUACAAAACUGGGCUGAGAAGUGGUAGAUGGAGUUCAACCCAGAUAAGUGUGAGGUGGUUCAUUUUAGUAGGUGAAAUAUGAUGGCAGAAUACAGUAUUAAUGGUAAGACUCUUGGCAGUGUGGAUGGUCAGAGGGAUCUUGGAGUCUGAACCCACAGGACACUCAAAGCUGCUGAGCAGGUUGACUCUGUGGUUAAGAAGGCAUACGGUGCAUUGGCCUUCAUCAACCGUGGGAUUGAGUUUUGGAGCCGAGAGUGUUUCUUUCAAAUUUAGUUCUCAAGUUGGACUGAAAAGGAGGAGCUCUUCAGAGCCAGAGGGAAGAUAGGCAGAGCCCAGAGUAUGGCAAGGAGCCAGCAGAAGAUGUUUACUGCAGGAGUAAGCAGUUAAAAAGAACAGGCAACCAAGGACUUACCCAGAAGAAGAUGGAUGACUCAGAAUCUCUUUCAACAGACCAGAGAAGACUGGAUUCCCAUCACAAGCCAGACCUCGGUUGUCCACUUUAAGCCCAUAGGUCACAGCUAUGCAAUGCAAUACUCAGGAAAUGUGCACACUAGCUCUCUGGCAUCUUCACUGAGACUGAAGACUAGGAGAUUGUUCAUCAAGAGAAGGACAUCUUCAAUACUUCACUCAUCCAGGCUGCUGUCCCCACUUGCUUCUAAUCAGCUACAAUCAAAUCUGUACCAAAGAUUUCUACACCUUCAGAACUAACAAGACAAAGGAGAGGGUUAUCGACCCCAGGAGAACUCAUACUACUCACCCCACCCACUACUUACAUCGGUGGCACAGCAGUUGCAAACUGCUUGUGUGUGGUGUGCAAACCAACCUCUCGUGGUUCCAGAACACAUCCUGCAAAAUCGGGACAGCUCACCAACACCUCUACUUUCGGAGGAGGCUGAAGUGAGCUGAACUUUGCACACCAAUACUCACGUCUUUCUGCAGAUGCGCAGUAAAGAGCAUCCUAACAAGGUGCAUGACUGCACGGUACAGAAACUGUAUUGCGGUGGAACGGAAGGCUCUUCAGUGGGUAGUCAAACGCACUACUGAAACCAACCUACCCGCCAUUAAGGAGAUAUAUAUACAAAAAUCUGCUUGUAAAGGACCAGUAACAUCAUAAAGGAUCCCACACACCCAGCUCGUGUCCCACUCACAUCAGGGAAGUGGCUACAUAGCAUCCACGCCAGGACCACCAGACUCAAAAACAGUUGGUUUCUCUAAGCAGUAAGCCUGAUCAACACCUCCACCCACUAACUCCACCACUACUUUAUUAUUUCCCAUAAGUCACCUUAUGUACAGCCCAGCAUCACUUUUUGGGCAUACAAUCAAUCUAUCUAUUAAAAUGAUUUUAUAUUUAU